CAGGAAGAUAAUCUAGUUGAGCCUAAAUGUUUUCAUCAGACCAUGUACUCUCCAUUUGCUGUGCUAGAAUUCAAAAUUAUUACUUUCACUUUUAUAAUUUACUUUGGAGAUCACUUCUUCUGUCUCUGAAAAAAGAGUGUGUCCUCUAAAUGAUUUCUCCAAAUCCGUUCCCUGGUUUGAAAACUUCCUUCUCUAUCAACAAUAUUUUGUUAAUCACCUUUGGCCUUCGCACCUAUGACAAAAACUGUGUCUUGAUCUGUAUGAAAGUAAGGACAAUGAUUUAACUGUACUGAAGAUCCAAUCAGUGAAAGCCUGAAAAUCUGUUGGGCCAAUCUAUUCAAUCAACCAUGUGAAGUCUGUGCACAGCAAAACAAAGGGACAGCUUCAUCACUGCUCAUCCACCCAACUCAGUUUUUCUGCUCAAGAGGCACAUCUAAGACAUCUGGACCCUCUAACAGCAACUCCCAAGUUACCAAGUUUGAUCAAGGUGCAGUUCACCUUAUGCUAAUAGCCACUGAUGGACCCUUAAGUGUAUUGGAAUGCAAUAGGUUAUUCAGCAAAGACACUGGAG
rnacentral:lncRNA from 1 species